rnacentral:rRNA from 1 species
GAGGAAAAGAAACCAACAGGGAUUGCCCCAGUAACGGCGAGUGAAGCGGCAAAAGCUCAAAUUUGAAAUCCUGCGGGAAUUGUAAUUUGAAGGUUUCGUGGUCUGAGUCGGCCGCGCCCAAGUCCAUUGGAACAUGGCGCCUGGGAGGGUGAGAGCCCCGUAUGGCGCACGCCGACUCUUUGCACCGCGGCUCCGACGAGUCGAGUUGUUUGGGAAUGCAGCUCUAAGUGGGUGGUAAAUUCCAUCUAAAGCUAAAUAUUGGCGAGAGACCGAUAGCGAACAAGUACAGUGAUGGAAAGAUGAAAAGCACUUUGAAAAGAGAGUGAAACAGCACGUGAAAUUGUUGAAAGGGAAGGGCUUGCAAGCAGACACGGUUUUACCGGGCCAGCGUCGAAAAGGGGGGAGGAACAAGAACUCGAGAAUGUGGCGCGCACCUUCGGGCGCGCGUGUUAUAGCUCGUGUUGACGCCUCCAUCCCUUUUUCGAGGCCUGCGAU